GUCUUUUUGGAUUUAAUUUAAAGUCUAACCUGCCCACUGAAAAUUUUAAAUGGCCGCAGUAUUCUAACUGUGCAAAGGUAGCAUAAUCAUUAGUCUUUUAAUUGAAGGCUGGAAUGAAUGGUUGGACGAAAUAUUAACUGUUUCAUUUAGAUUUUUUAUAAAAUUUUAUUUUUUAGUCAAAAAGCUAAAAUAAGUUUAAAAGACGAGAAGACCCUAUAAAUCUUUAUAUUUUAUUUAUUUUAAUUAUAAAGAUUAUUUUUAUUAUUAUAAAUUAAAAUAUUUUAUUGGGGUGAUAUUAAAAUUUAAAAAACUUUUAAUUUUUAAAGCCAUUAAUUUAUGAAUAAUUGAUCCAUUAAUAAUGAUUAAAAAAUUAAGUUACUUUAGGGAUAACAGCGUAAUUUUUUUGGAGAGUUCAUAUCGAUAAAAAAGAUUGCGACCUCGAUGUUGGAUUAAGAUAUAAUUUUGGGUGUAGCCGUUCAAAUUUUAAGUCUGUUCGACUUUUAAAUUCUU
rnacentral:rRNA from 1 species